AUUGAACGCUGGCGGCAGGCCUAACACAUGCAAGUCGAACGAGUGGCGGACGGGUGAGUAAUGUCUGGGCAACUGCCUGAUGGAGGGGUAUCACUACUAGAAACUGUCUCUUAUACCGCAUUCCCUCGGAUGUGCCCAGAUGGGAUUAGCUAGUAGGUAGGGUAAAGGCUCCCCUAGGCGACGCUCCCUAGCUGGUCUGAGAGGAUGACCAGCCACACUGGAACUGAGACACGGUCCAGACUCCUACGGGAGGCAGCAGUGGGGAAUAUUGCACAAUGGGCGCAAGCCUGAUGCAGCCAUGCCGCGUGUAUGAAGAAGGCCUUCGGGUUGUAAAGUACUUUCAGCGGGGAGGCGUUACCCGCAGAAGAAGCACCGGCUAACUCCGUGCCAGCAGCCGCGGUAAUUC
rnacentral:rRNA from 1 species